GUGGUUGUGGCUCAGUAGUAGAAUGCUUGCCUAGCAUGCAUGAGGCACUGGGUUCGAUCCUCAGCACCACA
rnacentral:tRNA from 1 species